CGAGAGAGACAGCGAGAGAGGGAGCACAAGCAAGGGGAGUGUGAGAGGGGAAGCAGGCUUCCCACUGAGCAGGGAGCCGGAUACGGGACUUGAUCAGGACCCUGGGAUCACGACCUGAGCCGAAGGCAGACGCUUUAACGACUGAGCCACCCAGGCGCCCCUAUAUUUUCAAGUUUUAACAGUUCAAUUUUUCUCUUCUCCUGUAAGUGUUAUUAUAGCUCUUGAAGAAGAGGUUGAAUUGGUAAAUUCUUGGAAUUAUAAUUAAAGAGCAUUUGUAGGUUUUCUGCCUAAAUUAAGGGAAAUUAUACACAACAACUGGACUGUACUCUUCAUUGUUCAUGUCCUGAAAGACAGAGGAAGGCUAAGAGGCUGUUCCAGAUUAAGAGGAACUAAAAAGAGGCACCAACCAAAUGCAAUGCACAAAGGUUUGAUCCUGAAUUCUGGAUUUGGGUAAGAUACUAUAAAGGACAUUGUUGGGCCAAUUGGCAAAGUUUGAAUAGGGACUGUAUAUGCUAAAAAUUCCUGAAUUUGAUAAUUGUGUUGUUAUGUAAAAAAGUCCCCAUUUCCAUGAGAUCCACACUGAAGUAUUUAGGGGUAAAAGGGAAUGAUGUCUGCUGUUUACUUUCAAAUGGUCCAGAAAAAAUACAUGUAACUGUGUAGAGAGAAAGAAAGAGUGGUGAGCAAAUAUGGCAAAGUGUUAACAAUAGAUGUAUCUGGGUGAAGGGUCCACAGGAGUCCUCAUACUAUUCUUGCAACUCCUGUAAGUUUGAAUGGUUUCAAAAUGAGAAGCAAAAAGGAAAAAAAAAUCCUUCAGAGCACCAUUUUCUUUUCUUUUAUGAGGAAUUUUUUCACAUUCUGUGUAUUAGGCUCCUAUUUGUAAUCUGUAGGGUCUGAUCAAAGACAUAGAUAGUGUAGAAUUUCAGUCAAAUGUAACAUGAGGCCUCUUCCCCCAUUUAUGUUUCACACUAAAUUUUCUUUUUUUUUUUUUUUUAAGUUUAUUUAUUUAAGUAAUCUCUACCCCUGAUGUGGGACUCCUCCAACUGAGCCAGCCAGGCGCCCCACCCAUCAAAUUUUCUGUACACUGAAAGGCAGUCAAGGAAAAUGUCAAAAUACAAAAAAAUUAAAAAGACAAAGACGUUUAACUGUAAAAGGAAGAACGAGUCACUGCUUUUCUCAGCAGUUUUUUUACCUCAUUAUGAAAAAUUUAAACCUCAAGAAAAAUAGAAUAGUAAGAUAAACGCCUCUAUGUAUAUCCGUAACCUAGAGCUAACAAUAGUCAGUAUAUUGUCACAUAUGCUUAUUAUUUUUUGCUAGUGUAUUUCAUUUUAUUUAUUAUUUAUGUAUUAGUUUUUUACUAACAUUUUAUUUUAUUUUUUAGAUUUUGUCAGAGAGAGAGAGCGCACAAGCAGGGGGAGCGGCAGGCAGAGGGAGAAGCAGGCUCCCUGCUGAGCAAAGAUCCCAAUGUGGGACUAGAUCCGAGGAUCCUGGGCUCAUGACCUGAGUCGAACGCAGACACUAACCCACUGAGCCUCUCAGGCAUCCCGCUAACAUAUUUUAAAGAUGUCACGGGGAAGCUCUAAAAACAAGAACAUGUUUCUUUAUAACUACAAUACUAUCAUCAUCCCUGACAAAAAUUAACAAUAAUUCCUUAAUGUUACGUAAUUCCUGGUCUAUAUUCAAAAUUUCGAAGUUGAUCCCAAAUAUCCAUUUCAUUGAUUCAUUCAAAUGAGGAUUGGGUCAAGAACCACACUUAGUGCACUUAGUGUGUAUUUUAAGUCUCUUUUCAUCUAGAACUGUCUUCUUCCUUGCUCUGGGUUAUAACUUUUUUCCUCUUGUGGCCAAGCAAAUAUAUUGGGGGGGGGGGUGGAGGAGAUGAUGAAUAAGGAGUUUGAAUAAUGCCCAGUCUUUAUAUAUUACAUGGGCUCACUAUACAAAGUAUUUAUUUUAUUUUUUUAAAGAUUUUAUUUAUUUAUUUGACAGAGAGAGACGCAGCGAGAGAGGGAACACAAGCAGGGGGAGUGGGGGAGGGAGAAGCAGGCUUCCCGCAGAGCAGGGAACCCGAUGAGGGGCUCGAUCCCAGGACCCUGGGAUCAUGACCUGAGCUGAAGGCAGACGCUUAACGACUGAGCCACCCAGGCGCCCCUAUACAAAAUAUUUAAUUUAAAAACCAGGGAUUUUUUUUUUAAUCUCUUGGAGACAAAGUGAAUACCAUUUUGAGUCCUGUCUACCGUCUCCUCAAACCUCACUGUUCUCACCUGUAUAAUGGGGAUGCUAACCCUUGUCCUGUCUAUUCCACAGGUGUGUCAGGAGGAUCAAACAAGACAGAGUUUGUGAAAGCAUUCUCUUUACUAAUAUGCACAUUAGGCUCUACGUCCAACUUGGAGCCCAAUCUGGGGUCUGAACUCAUGACCUUGAGAUCAAGACCUGAGCUGAGAUCCAGAGCUGGACACUUAACCGACUGAGCCAAUGAGGUGCCCCUGCAGAGAGCUUUUAUAUAAUAUACUUUGGGGAAUUUGACAGCUAUGAAUUUAUGCAGGAGACACUGUGCCCAACAUGGGGCUUGAACUUACAACCCCUAGAUCAAGAGCCGGCCAGGUGUCCCAGGAUGUUGGUAUUACUUUAAAUUAUGUACUUUAUGCAUAAUCAGCUUUCUCAAUUCUUACACUAAUUCACUAUUUAAAAUCUUUCAGUACGCAUCCAUUUGUGAAUAUA